ACCAUAGAGAGAGAUAUGGUAAUGUGCAGAGAAAAGAAAGUGAGUCAGUGAAAGGGAGAAUGUGAGAUGAAACAACUGCUCCGUUGAAAAACGUAUCCAACAGACAAGAGGCUCCAGAAUGAAAUACCAGACAUAUCAGACAAUCCUAGAAAGAUGACAGGAUUAGUUGGCCACGACGUGAUUUGAACUGAAAACGAAAGGAGCUGGAAAACCACCACAUGCUAUUAUUGUCCUGCACUCUAACGAUUCUGCCAACUGCUGUUGUUUAAAUGACACAUGCUGACUCAGUGACGUAUUUACAAUGAACCAG
rnacentral:lncRNA from 1 species